UGGGGAAUAUUGGACAAUGGGCGCAAGCCUGAUCCAGCCAUGCCGCGUGAGUGACGAAGGUCUUCGGAUUGUAAAACUCUUUUGGCGGGGACGAUAAUGACGGUACCCGCAGAAUAAGCCCCGGCUAACUUCGUGCCAGCAGCCGCGGUAAUACGAAGGGGGCUAGCGUUGUUCGGAAUCACUGGGCGUAAAGCGCACGUAGGCGGAUGUGCCAGUCAGGGGUGAAAUCCCGGAGCUCAACUCCGGAACUGCCUCUGAUACUGCACGUCUUGAGUUCGAGAGAGGUUGGUGGAAUUCCUAGUGUAGAGGUGAAAUUCGUAGAUAUUAGGAAGAACACCAGUGGCGAAGGCGGCCAACUGGCUCGAUACUGACGCUGAGGUGCGAAAGCGUGGGGAGCAAACAGGAUUAGAUACCCACGUAGUCCCUGAGCGGGCUGGCAAGGCGCAU
rnacentral:rRNA from 1 species